GCUUCAGUCUCAGACCAAGCUUGCUUCCACUGCGAGGAUGGAGUAGGGUUUUUUAGUCGAAGCAGUCGAUUUAAACCAAUUCAAGAUUAAGCAUAUGAGAAUGGAGCUAGUCAUAGAGGCCGAAAUUUAGUCUUCGGCGGUGUUCACGUGGGGGCCUAUCCUUUCAAUGUUUGUGCCUCUAAAAACUUCCGCUAUAUAUAUUCUUAUACCCAAUUAUAUGAGGUUUGAUCUGAGCUUGAGUUUUGUAUUGAUAUGGGAAUUAUUGGCGAUGAUUAUAUGUUUAUCCGCGCUUCCGAGGUUAAACAAUGAAGCUAGACUAAAUGAAAGGUUGAAUUUCUUAGUAUGAGCCAGUUUUCUUCUAUCAUGUUUUGUUAAAUUUUGGAUCUUUUCUUGUGUUUUCCAAUCAUGGCCGUGACGAUGGAACUUCAGCUUAUAAUGCCAGUUCUGCUUCAGAACUUGAUGAUUGAUAAAGCUGUUUCAGUAAUCUGAGCCUUUGAUAUCUACUAAUUCAACCUAGAUGUUUGUGCAUUUUUCCAGUAAUUAUAUUCUCAUAUAGUUGUUUUCCUAUCAAGGUUUCCAUGUCUAGUCUAUACACUAUAUUAUUACGAUGUGUUUGAGGCAGGUUAAACAUAAAUUGUGUAUUUUAGUGUAAGGAUAAAUUUAUUAUUGGUUGAGACCCUUGAUGAUUCUGACCAACUUUCUGAGAUGUUGCGAAGCCAAGACCCUGCUUCAGGGAGAACCUACUUGGUGGAAUGGCAUUUAUAUGAGUUACGUGGAUUAGACUGAGGUUUCCUGUAGAACAAUUAAAUCAUUUUUUAAGUGUAAGAAUAAAUUUAUAAUUUGGUGGAGACCCGUGAUGAUUCUGUCCAACUCGCUGAGAUGUUGUGAAGCCAAGACCCUGCUUCAGGGAGAACCUACUUGGUGGAAUAAUAUUUAUAUGAGUUAAGUGGAUUUGACUGAGGUUUCAGAUAGGACAAAAAAAUGUUUUUAAGAGUAAGAAAUAAAUUUAUAAUUUAGUAGAGGUCUGUGGUGAUUCUGUCCUUCAUGAGAUGUUGUGAGUUAUAUGGAUUUGACUGGUUUCGUUUUUGUCUGUUUUUAAUUUAAAUUCACAAACCCGUGUUCUUCGCAUAUUCACAUCUUUUGAGUUUAACUAUACUCAUCCCUUUUUCAAUAUGGGUAUGUAGUCUGAAAAACUCGAAUAUUUUGUGUUGUCAUCAGCUUCUUCUCGCCUGACUUAGGAGACUGGAGUUAAAUAACAGCACCAAAUUUUCUAAUAUAUUUGGAAAAUUUAUAUUGUUUUUUUUAUUGCUUUUACAAUCACUUUGUAUUGCUCAAAGGCUUCUUUCACUAAAUUGUACGUUGUUGAUUGAUAGUUAUGUGUGAUGACAAUAUCUAGCAAGCUGAAGAAUGACCGCGUGAGAAGUUGUACUGUCUGAAGUUUCAGAUGGAGGUUUGUAGAUGUACUUUGUAGAUGUACAUGGUGUACUUGUUGGUUUUACUCUCAGCUGAUGAGUACGACGAAGGCAUGAAGAUAUUUUGGAGGUCUCGAUUUCUUAGUGUGCCUCCUUUCUUCUGCUCUGAAUCUCCCUCUCGUCAUUGUUAUUUGAUUUAUUGUUUUAGAUAUAUUUGCAUAGUUUUAUUAUUUGUUGUAUUUUUAAAAAGGUUGAUUUAUGAGUUUUCUUUGAUUUCUGAAUCUGAAUUACAGAUCUUUAUUCUAUUUGCGUAUGUAGGAGAUAAUUUGAACCUACCAGCAACCUUAAGACUAAGAAUGAGCUUGUUUAUUUGGAUUGUAAACCUGGUCCUGAUUUAUAUGAUCCGUAUAUUGUGUAGCAAGCAAUUCAAAUAAAACAGCAUAUUGAAUUGAA